rnacentral:rRNA from 1 species
UGAGGAAUCUUGCGCAAUGGGGGAAACCCUGACGCAGCAACGCCGCGUGGAGGAUGAAGGUCUUCGGAUUGUAAACUCCUGUCAGAGGGGACGAAUGUUCACGGGCUAAUCACCGUGAGCUUGACGGUACCCUCAGAGGAAGCCACGGCUAACACUGUGCCAGCAGCCGCGGUAAUACAGAGGUGGCGAGCGUUAUUCGGAAUUAUUGGGCGUAAAGGGCGCGUAGGCGGCUUGACAAGUCCCGGGUGAAAUCCCUCGGCUCAACCGAGGAACUGCCUUGGAAACUGUCUGGCUUGAGGCCGGGAGAGGGUAGUGGAAUUCCCAGUGUAGCGGUGAAAUGCGUAGAUACUGGGAGGAACACCGGUGGCGAAGGCGGCUACCUGGACCGGUUCUGACGCUGAGGCGCGAAAGCGUGGGUAGCAAAC